rnacentral:rRNA from 1 species
GACGAACGCUGGCGGCGUGCCUAAUACAUGCAAGUAGAACGCACAGUUUAUACCGUAGCUUGCUCCACCAUAGACUGUGAGUUGCGAACGGGUGAGUAACGCGUAGGUAACCUGCCUGGUAGCGGGUGAUAACUAUUGGAAACGAUAGCUAAUACCGCAUAAUAUUAAUUAUUGCAUGAUAAUUAAUUGAAAGGUGCAAUUGCACCACUACCAGAUGGACCUGCGUUGUAUUAGCUAGUAGGUGAGGUAACGGCUCACCUAGGCGACGAUACAUAGCCGACCGGAGAGGGUGGUCGGCCACACUGGGACUGAGACACGGCCCAGACGCCUACGGGAGGCAGCAGUAGGGAAUCUUCGGCAAUGGACGAAAGUCUGAGCGAGCAGCGCCGCGUGAGUGAAGAAGGUGUUCGGAUCGUAAAGCUCGGUUGUAAGAGAAGAACGGGUGUGAGAGUGGAAAGUUCACACUGUGACGGUAUCUUACCAGAAAGGGACGGCUAACUACGUG